UCCACCUCCACCAUCAGCCACCAGCACCACGUUACCAUCCAACGUUACAUAAAAAAAGAAUACUGUCCAGACGUACCACACCACAAUACCAGCCAGCGUGACAUAAAAAAAGAAAACUGUCCAACGUACGUCCCCUACAAUCACACGGUUCUCAUCAGGAAGUAAGGGAUCUAAACGAAAUCGGUUCCCAUCGCCCUUAUCCUUGCACGUCGACCUCGCGUCACUGCAUCAUAUCGUCGCGCCGUCGCCAUCGCCGUCGCCGUCUCCGAUCCAUCAUCUCUGUACCUGAAGUACAUAUUCAGUCAGACGGCAAGUGAACAUUUAUAUAACAAAACCAAAGUUCAGAUUAUAUUUAUUUGGGAUAGUUGAAAAGAAAGCAUGCCUAUUUAGUUAUUACAUGUUCUCUGAUUCUGGGGGAUGGAACAUGGAAAGCUAUUGGCCGCUUGCAGUCUCGCAAUCUUUUAGAGGCACAAGUGGAGUUCUGUUUGGCAAUGCUUUUCUAUUGAGCAUAUUAAGUGAUCGUCAUUUGUCUGUCUUUUUUAUUAAGAAAUGGCAUAUCAUUUACUAUGAAUUUGCAACUGGUUCAAAUACAUGACUGCCAAGAUACGGUGUGCUUGACAACGCAUCUUUCUAUCAAGUUGCUACGAAUGUUGCUUCUGUUCCGUGACAGUGUACGUCACAAAGGUGACAUCGAUGUGGUUCACACUUGUUAUUUCUUCUUCUUGGUAAUUUUUAGUUCCUCUGAUCUUAUAUUUUUUAUACCACUAUUCUACAUGACAACCUUUUCUUUAACAAGGAGAGGUGCCAAAUUUUCAGUCAAUUACAACGUGAAUUACAUAGCCUGCAACAUUGCCUAUAGCCGAUAGAAUCUAUGAUUCUACAAGGGCUAUCUUUAUAAGCUAAACAAUUACAGUACAAGACACACUCAAAUUCAGAGUUUAGAGCCUCAUGAGUAGUGUUGUGAGAGCUUGUUGAUGAUCUUCCUGUUUUUCGCAAAAUUGGGUUGUGUUGGAUGGUCCAUGUGAUGUUAUCUAAACAAAUUUCCUCUAGACAUAUGGGUAUUACUUUACACAUUGUCAAAACUUGACAUAUGAACAAUUUAAUAUAGUUAUGUUCACUUGUCGUCUGACUGAAUAUGUACUUCAGGCACAGAGAUGAUGGAUUGGUAUACUUGCAAUUUGACUGAACAUAACAAUUCACAUGAAGGCUAAGAUAUGUCAAAUUCCAAUGGUGCGGGGGCGCGAACCCCAUUUCAGGACAUAAGUAACAACCAAACUUUGGGUAACUAUCAUCAACCUUUUCAUAAUUUCUGAUAACGUUAUUGUUGUUACUUAUGUCCCAACUUGCGGUGUGUACUUAUGGAGACCCUAAAGAAUUAAAGAGGCAGAGGAACAGAGAGUAUUAUGCAUGCAAUAAAGAUGACAUUCUUAAGAGACGUCGUGAGGCCAGUGAGAACAAACAGGGUUCAACACCAAUGCUUAGUGACCAGAAAAAUGAAACAAAUACACCCAUGUACAUGUCCCGAGGUAAAAAUGCCCUCAUAUUGCAUGCCUAUGUACUGUUCACGUAACUGAUGAGAUGUCAUGCACGAAACUAACACCAAUGUGACAUAGCUGUGGAACCGAUUGAGCUGCAGAGGCAAAUAGUCGGGGAACAUUAUUCACACAACGUGGAUGAUGUAUUCAGUGCACAACUUCAAGUUGAACAAGAAAAUGAAACACAAACCCCGGUGUCCAUGCCCAUUGGUAAUGAUGCUCAAAACAGUAGAUGCAACACUAUGUAUUCAUACUAAUUACCUUUAUAUGCAGACCCUAAGGAGUUGAGGAGGCAAAGGGACAGGGAGCGAUAUGCACAAAACAGGGAUGAGAUAUUAAAACGACAACGCAUAUCCCAUGAAAAGAGAAAGACCGCUACUCGGCUCCUCAACGAUGAUACCACUAUGUCACACACACCAGCUACAGGACAAACCGGUGUCACCCAACUACAAAAUCUAACAUGUGCUGUUACAGGUUGUGGGGUAUCAUAUAAUAUUUAUUGCAUGUUCUUAGCUCAUGAAACAUGCCCAAACCAAUGGUUACUGAUGUGGUGCUGAAAUUAUGUCGCAGGCUUAUCAAGUAUGCAAAAUUCAUCUCAUGAACGCGUCCGUAAAAACGAGUGGCGGAUCUAGGAUUUGAAGUUACCCGGGGCGGAUUUUUAAAGGAUAAAAGUUGAAGUCAUAAUGCAAUCAUUAAUACAAGUAAUUUGCCAAGUAGUAGUAGUAUCCAUUCAGACAAGACAAUCAACGAAAUUAUUUUUUCAAAGCAGUUUCAGUUCAAGAACUAGGUACAAUUGAAAUUUAUACAAAGUCUAGCGUAAAUGAGACUUUGAAACAACAGAUACUGCAAGUAUUUACCACUAAGUUGUUGUUAUAAGUACGUGCGGAUUUUGUAGAUGGCCACUAGUGUUCCUUGGAAAUGCACGGCAAUUUCCUGGUCUUCAAUCCCAGCAAUUCUCUUUUCAGUAUCCAAUUCUCAGGAUAUAAGUCAAUGCGAGAAGAGACUACAAACCUAGAACGAACAAAGAGAAGAUUGGGGAGAGAUGAAGAACCCGAUUUUGUUUGCUCGCUUGUAAUUUUGAGCGGGCACAUGGCUGCGGCGGCGGUGACGAUGCCAUCUCCCGUGUGUACGACGCAAUGAGCAGCACGAACAAAGGGACCCUCGUCUCCCUCGAGAGUCAACAUCGAGGCGGCAAGGCUGCGCGUGUGGAGGCAAGAUCACGAUGCUCUGAUAGGUUUUUCCGAUCCAUGGUGAAAUGGAAACCGUAGGAAUUGGGAACAUCAAUGUGGGCUCGUAUUCACUUGGGCCUUUACUACUAAUUUCUGAUUUUGAGUUACUCGUUGGCCCAUCUGAUGAAGCGUUAUCUUGUUUGUUGCAUCUUCUUGCUCGAGUUGACCGCACAGACUACGAACAGACCUCGAGACUCUCGCUUCCAUGGUGUCGCUGAUCAAAGUAGUAGUAGGGUGGGUACCGUCGAUACCAAAAUUUUACCAAGGGCGGCCGACCCUACAUGACCCCACGCUGGCGCCGCCCGUGGUAACAACCAAGAGAUUAAUUUAACAAACGAGGAUGAAUUCAAUUGGUUGCACACGAAUGAUGUGUAUCAGAGGCAGCAACGACCUGGAAGCUCAAAAAUAGCUACUGUUGUGCCUCUUGGACAGAAAAACGAACCAAUUGGGAGCAUCAUCAGAGAUAUUGCACAAGGUAUAUUUAACUGACUUUGUUAUAUUGUAAUCAUCUUCUGGAUGAAAAUUUAUUGUGCACGCAGGGCCUCUCACCCAAAUUUCAGGGUUUGAUGUACCCCAACUGAGCAUACUACAUGGUAGAGAUUGCACAAUCGAAGAUGCGGGUUAGUUCAUCGAUAUAAUCAUUUUGCAUGUGGUCCAACAUGAUUUAUUUUGUCGUAAAUAUGGGUUCUCUAUCGUAUGUUAAGGUAUACAACCUUCAAACGGAUCCAAUCAACCUGAAAAUACGCCGGCUAAUGAUACGAGAAGACCUGCUCAACCGGCUUCGCAUGGUACUCAAAACACUAAUAACCUGAAAUGGGAUUUGCGACAUUCUGAUGCUCUAAUGAUCUUGUGAUUUUCCACCAGGCGAGGACCAAAAUGAUGAUCCAUAUGGAAUUUUUGAGCCCGUUGUUGAACAUACCAGUUUACAAGGUAAAACACAUAUUUUCGUUCACAUAUAAAGGUCAUCAUACAUAAGUUAGAUGUAGUUAUGUCUGACCAAUAUAUUCCCUGCUAGACUGCUUGGAUCCAUUGCAUAGUGGAGAACCUGCAAUACCAUGAGCCUGAUGAAGAAGCUAGAAUUUAUAUGGAUCAAGGUGUGUCCAUUGUGUAUUUCCUAAUUUAGCACCCUGAAAUGCAAAUUUUAUUAGUGUUUACUAAUGAUUUAAUACUUGUGUCUUGUGUGCUAGAUGUUGCUUUUGAAUCGUUCCAAGAUGGACGCCAUACUACACGAGCAGUACCCGUAGCAAGUACUGAUGAAUUCAUAUACCGAAACCUACCUAGAAAGCACCAUGUCCUAAGAAAGGUUGCGGACUGUCGCCACUGUGUGGCAUUGCGAUUUUCAUUCGAGGGGCCAGCAUUUUGUUGCAGAAAAGGAAAAAUCGGAUUAUUUACUCCAGAUGUUCCAGAAGAAUUGAAACAGCUGUUCACAAGUCAAGAUGAUGAGGACGCUAAAUAUUUCAGAGAGAAUAUAUGGUAUUUCAACUCGCACUUCUCAUUCAGAAGUCUAGGAGUCACCCUUGAUCGUCGAGUAAGUACUACGGCAAGAACUGGCAUAUAUACAUUCCGCGUGUGUGGUGGGUUGUACCACGCUCUUGACGAUCUGGUGUCGGCUGAUAAUGGCCCUCGGCAUUUGCAACUCUAUAUUUAUGAUACAGAUCAAAGCUUGGUUCACAGGGCUAAUAGGUCUCCAGAUCUUAAUAUAGACCUCAUACAAAAUAUUCUGAGAAUACUAGAGCGUAACCCUUAUGGACAAGCUUUCAAAAGCCUUGGGUCGGUUCCAAAUCUAGAUGAGUACAAAAUCUCACUAAACACGGAUAUCAAGUUGGAUCAGCGAAGGUACAAUGCCCCAACGACCUCCCAAGUGGCAGCCAUAUGGGUUGAAGGGAGUGACCCACAAAAUUGCUUCGACACGAGUGUUGUCGUGCAUGCGAAAAAAGGAAACCGACGACUAUAUAUUAGAGCAUAAUAUGGGUGCUACGACCCAUUGUCAUAUCCACUAUUCUUCCCACAUGGAGAGACUGGUUGGAAUCGUUGCAUGCCAUAUAUUCCGCCCCCAGAUGACACGGCCCAAAAUUCCGUGCAUAUGUCUGCAACCCAAGGAACCCAAGCCUCUGAUUUACAUAUAGGUAUGAUGCCCCUAUUAAUUUAUAUAAAUACCUAAAUUUUUUCGAAUGAUGAAGAAACCUUAUGUUUUCGUGCAUAUAUCUAUCAGACAAAGACUUGAUUGGAGAAAGAGAACAAGAUGGGAAUGGUGCAUCGCGUGAAGCGGAUAAUCAUGUGCCAGAUGUAAACCAAGCCCCUGAUUUAUAUACAGGUAUGAUGUUCACUAUUAAUAUAUAUACCUACUAUUUCUAAAUGAUGGUGAUAACUUGUGUUUUGAUCUACAUCUAUCAGAUGGGAACUUGAAUAGAAAAAGAGAACGAGAUGGGAAUUUUAUACGGCAUGAAGCCACAACCGAUGAUUUACCUUCAGGUAUCAGUCAUCAUUGCUAAAUAUUCAAUUUGUAUCUUGUCAACCAUUAUGAGUGUUGUCGAUCAUUAUAGGUACAACCACCAUACUGAUAUUUAUGUUCUUAAUCUUAUAGAUGACAAUGAAGAUAACCCAGAUGAUGAUUUUGUUGACAAUGAAGUCAAUGGAACACAAUCCAGGAAAUUUGUUAGUGCAAGGGAGUACUACUACUUGAAGCUGCAAGUCACGAGGAAGCUUUUUAACAUCGUCUUGUUUGGGGGGCGCCUUUUCCAACAAUGGGAUGUUGACAUCUAUAUUAAGACUGAGACUAUGCGGCUUGACUGGUACUCAAAGCCGAAAAAUCGGAAGGUCGUCCGCGCUAACCUCUACCAGGUAAUGUGCUUGUGUUUAUUGUAAUACAUCAUAAUACAAUGAUGAAGUGGAUGUUCCAUGCGUUGACUAUAACCUGGUAUGCUAUUAUAGGGUCUUGUUGACACCGUCGUUGCCAGUGAGUCACGCGGUGAUCGAAUUGGUAAAAGAAUCGUGCUUCCACGGACAUUUCCUGGUGGUGAUCGUGACAUGCAACGGAGGUUCUUGGAUGCUAUGGCAAUAGUGUAACGGUGGGGUAAACCGGAUUAUUUUAUCACGAUGACUUGCAAUCCAUAUUGGGAGGAGAUAACCGAGGAACUGUUGCCUGGACAACUGCCGCAGGACCGUCCAGACCUGGUGGCAAGAGUAUACAGUGCUAAGCAGCGAGAUAUGAUGGACUUACUAACUAACGGUAAGCAUUUCGGAGAAGUCGCAGCCUAUGUACAUGUCAUCAAGUUUCAGAAGCGAGGUCUCCCGCAUGCACAUAUACUUCUAAUCAUGAAAGCAAAAAAGCAAGUUAGUGACACCAAAUGACUAUGAUCGGGUGAUAUGUGCAGAGAUACCUGACAAACAGAAACAUCCCAUUCUACAUGAUCUGGUCAUCAAACACAUCCUGCACGAACCAUGUGGUAAGUUGAAAAAAAGUUGCCCCUGCAUGAUUGAUGGACAAUGUCGGUUUCAUUACCCCCGAGCUUUUUGCGAUGCCACACAACAAGGGAAAGACUCAUAUCCCAUCUACAGGAGGAGGGACGAUGGACACCAAAUUAGGAUCCAAGGAGCAGAUUUGGACAAUAGGUGGGUGGUCCCAUACAACCCUUCUCUGCUUAUGCGAUACAACUGCCACAUUAAUGUAGAAGCAUGCUCCAGCAUCAAGGCAGCCAAGUACUUGUUCAAGUACAUCUAUAAAGGGCAUGAUCGUACAUCCUUUGCAUUCGAGCAGGAUAUCAUCAAUGAUGGUGGGAUCAUCAAUGAAACCCGACAAUAUAGGGAUGCACACUAUGUAUCUCCUCUAGAGGCUAUAUACAGGAUUUUUGGUUUUAAACUGUUUGGUGUCAGUCCAUCUGUGCUACAACUCCAGCUUCAUCUAUACUACUAUUAAAAGAGCAAACUAGAAUUCUUCUAAGCCCACCAAAAAUAGUGUAGACGGAUCAACCAGAGCCCUCAGAUCAUUCCCACCUAAUGAAAUCCAACAGUCUACGUUACUUUGAUAGUCUGGCAUAGCAUCUAACGGCUUAGAUUCAAUGUUCUCCCGUGGUUUGCCAUCGUUUGCAUCGCUUUCCGUCCCCACGAACUGACCUGAUGAGGUUACAGUCCCAAUCCUGAAAUCACGCACAUGAUUUCCUCGUGUGUAUACCCGUCCCCCAUGGGAUCCUCCACGAUCUGAUCGGACGAGUUGUCGCAGAUCAUCCCACUCUCCAUGCACCCACCCCAAUUUUCCCGGCGCCACCCUUGGCAUCCCCUACCUCCAACCUCCUGUUGGCGGCCGUCGCCACGGAUCCAGCACGCGGUCUCUCGCCUGGAGGCAUCGACCACGAACUCAUUGUUGAAGGACGCUAUCGCCGGUCGAAACAGCUGCACAUGACGAGAGCUCGGACCACCGCCACAGCCCGCCGCUCCUCCUCUGACGGACGCGAGCGCGCAUGCAACCGCCAUAGCAAGGACGCGAGCGUGGGCCACCAUCGCCUGAUGCUCCUCCUCUACUGCCCUAGGUAUGCUGACGCCCCGUCUCUCGUCGCACACGUGGCCGCUGACCUGGUCCAUGAGCUAGAGAAGCCAGUAAGUUUCCUCUGUUUGUUGUUCACCUUGAUGCCCGUGCACCGGCCACGACACAGGUGCUAAUGGAGCUUCACGCUACGGUCUAGACGACACCAAGGUACUAACUGAACCGGAUAACCCGUCUUUAUUGAAAACUGGCCGCAAGUCCGCCAUGAUCCUCGCGUUCUGGCACCUCCGCACAACUAAUCUCUGCACCCACAAAGCUGCAGCAUGUAGGAAGCCUGCAGGUAAUCACUUAUUUACGUUGGUCCAGCUGAUUAAUCUCGCUUGCUUCUUUUGCCUACAAGUGUGCUCGCUUAUUUUUUUAUAACACUAUGAUCUAAGGGUCGGAUUGUGGUUCUUCUAGCUGAUUAAGGUAGCUGCUUGUUUGCUUUUUUAUGCUCGUUCAGUUGUUUUCUUUUUAUCUCAGGAUGCAAGCUUUGUGUGUGCCAAGUUGAGAAUUAAGAGGACUGAGUUCUUUGGGCAUGAUUUAGUUACUGUGGUAAACAGAGGACCAUGUAAAAUGUAAAUGAGCAAUGGAACAAGUAGGACAGAUACACCAGAUUGUAUGCAGACUUGCAGAGCAGAGUUUCAACGUGCUUCUUCGUUUAGGAAUUGGAAUGGAUAGAACGGAUACAUGACGACAUAGAACAUAUAUAAAGCUUCAUCGUUAAAUUCUGAAGCAGCUAAUUUUUCAGUUUGAUGUACUGUCAAUUGCAUUUUGAAGUCCAUAUUCACUGUUUGAUCAACUAUGUAGUUAGGACUUUAAAGCUUCUAUUGACUUGAUGGAGUUUGAGUUUAGGGUUUUUAUUGAUAGGACUUUAGAUGGAGUUGAAGCAACAUAAGCAUUGCAUGAGUGCACAACAAUCGUUAUGAACAAAGCAUGCUUCCAUGUGUCAUUUCUCACCUGGCUCACGACCUAGGGUUCUGCACGGUUAAUCAUGGCCUCGCUCCGUUAGUGUAUUGCAGCCGACCCCUAAAGCUCCCCGUAAUCUUUUUUUUAUAAUUUGCCUCGUCGGGGGGAGGCUUUUUCUUGACCUUGUUGACUAGAUCGUUUCAUCUUCCUCCUGAUUUGUCGAAGGGAGGCUUCUUCUUGACCUUGUUGACUAGAUUAUUUCAUCUUCCUCAUGACUUGUGAUUAGUAUUUAUGAUCUUUGAGCUUGAUUUGAAGAUACCACGACAAAAGAUUGAUUAUAGUUAGUUUAGUGUUCUGACAGAUAUCUGUAGUUAGUCUUCGGAAGUUGACCUCUAACUUGUUUUAUAAUUAUAUAAGAAUUGAUUGCACUUACGUCCAUACCUCCAUAAUUACAUGCUCGAUGCCAUGGGUUGCUAAUUCUAAUGAUUGGUUGUGCAGAUUUCCACAACACUACUUAUGAUCUAAACAUUGACUGAAAAUAUUUAUCAGAGUAUUCGUUUCAAACAAUUAAUUUUGCAAAAUAUGGUGUGGAAAUUCAACAUUGAUGUCGUUUACGCAUUCUCACAUUGCGAAAUUCAACAUUGAUGUUGCCUUGUUAGGAAUAUAUUUGUAAAUUCUCUUGGGAUUAAAGUAUAACUUGCAAUUUGCUAUAUUGUCCCCAAAAUACAUGAGGUUCAGACAUAUAGUUAUCUAUUUCUGUCGUUUGUGAUCAACUAAAAUGCUCAAAGUUUUUGAAACACCAACAAUGAUCUCUAUUUAUAUAGAUAUAAGUAAUGAAAAAAAAUCACAUUCAACAACUUUAAACCUAACUCUGAGUGGAUGUAAGUGCUUGAAAAUAUGGUCUUGGACCUCCAUGCUAACUUGAAAAGUGUGGUACCAUGUUAUCUGAUGAAUGCAUUGUGUUUUGUUGUUAUUUUCUUACACUAGCAUCACAAACUAUACGCAUAUGGUAGUAUGCAUGAGACCCGCUGGCAAGAUGUAUUUUAUUGGGAGUAGAUGUAUCUAUGAAAAGUGUACUUGUUAAGACGUGUGUUGCACGUGCAAGCUUACUAGUUUGCCAAAUAUGCAUACAAUUGCAUUUAAAGCUUGUGCAAAUCUGGAAGAUGUUGUAGCACGACCGUAUUCUUCCAAGUCCAUGCUUACAGAAUACUUUGAGAUGAACCGGAAGUUUCCAGCAGCACGGAAAUUAUUGUACAGAGAGUUUCCAGAAAAUUAUAGAUGGAUACCUGAGAAAAAAAGUGGCAGAAUAGAAAAACUAAGAGAUUACAGAUUGGAAGACUUGUGUAUGCACACCCUGCUGAAGGAGAAAGAUACUACUUGCAUGUGCUCCUAAGUCAUGUUCGAGGUGCCACUUCAUUCGAUGCUUUAAAAACUGCAAAUGGCAAGCCAUGCAGUUCCUUCAGGGAGGCAUGUGAGCACUUAGGCCUCAUUGAGCACGACGGGACUCUUGAUGUUUGCAUGACGGAGGCAGCCACAUUUCAGAUGCCUUCUGUCCUAAGACGGUUAUUUGCGACUAUACUGGUGUUUUGUGAGGCAACAGAAAUCCGACAGCUAUGGGACAAACAUCUGGCAUCGAUGUCUGAGGAUUACCGUCGUAAUCAAUCCAAUGAGGCAGCACUUGAGCAGAUGGUCCUCAGAGAUAUUAGGGAUAUGUUGCAAUCCAUGGGAAAGGAUAUUGCAGGCUAUGGACUUCUGGAUUUGGUUGACACUGAUGGUUCUUAUGACGGUGAGUACAGAGAGGUAACAGUGGAGAGCGAAAUCAGUGUGGACAAAGAACACCUAGGUUUAUUUAGCAGUUUGAACAAUGAGCAACUUGCUGGUUACAAUGACAUAACGGAUCAUGUGAUGAAACAAAAAAGCCAGAUAUUCUUUGUUGACGGUUCAGGAGGCACUGGCAAGACAUACUUAUACAAGGCAUUGCUUGCGAAGGUGCGUUCGAUGGGCCAGAUAGCGAUCGCAAUUGCUACAUCAGGGAUAGCGGCGUCGAUAAUGCCCGAAGGACGGGCUGUGCACUCCAGGUUCAAAAUUCCAAUCAAGCUCACCGACAAUAGCAUGUGUAGUUUCACAAAACAGAGUGGUACAACGAGUUGCUUAAACAGGCGUCAUUGAUUAUUUGGGACGAGGUUGCGAUGACAAAACGUCAAACAGUUGAGACGCUUGAUAGAUCGCUUCAAGAUAUAAUGGGAUGUCCGUUGCCAUUUGGGUGGAAGGUUGUAGUCUUUGGUGGGGAUUUCAGGCAGGUCCUUCCUGUUGUAACACGUGGGACAAGAGCACAGAUCACGGAUGCUACACUUCUAAGAUCCUAUAUGUGGGAGAAGAUCCGCAAGAUACGCCUCACGCGCAAUAUGCGGGCACAUGCUGAUCCUUGGUUCUCCGAAUACCUCCUAAGGAUCGGCAAUGGUAUAGAAGAGACAAUUGGCGACGACUAUGUGCGUCUCCCUGACGACAUUGUGAUUUGCUAUACCGAGGAUGAGAAAGCUAUCAACAAGCUCAUCGAAGAUGUCUUCCCAUCGUUGCAUGCCAAUGCUAAAUCGAGAGAGUACAUGAGCACACGUGCUAUUCUUUCGACCAUGAAUGAUCAUCUCGAUGGCCCGAAUGACAAGAUGAUCUCAAGGUUUCCAGGCGAAGAAAAGUUAUACCAUAGUUUUGACUCAAUCGAGGAUGACUUGCAGAAUAAUUACACGAUUGAUUUUCUAAACUCGAUCACACCAAAUGGCUUGCCCCCACAUGUAUUGAGAUUAAAGGUCAACUGUCCGGUCAUUCUGCUACGGAACCUCGACCCACAUAAUGGCCUAUGCAAUGAUACACAGCUUAUGAUUAGAGCCUUCCAGGAUAAUGUAAUCGACGCAGAGAUUGUUGGUGGUCAGCAUGCUGGAAAGAGGGUGUUCAUACCUAGGAUCCCUAUGUCGCCCUCGGAGGACAUCUCAGUUCCUUUUAGACUUAAGAGAAAACAGUUCCCCAUCCGCGUGAGUUUUGCAAUGACAAUUAACAAGGCGCAGGGUCAAACGACCCCGAACGUCGGUAUUUACCUUCCCGAGUCAGUAUUCUCACAUGGUCAGCUAUAUGUUGCUUUGUCAAGGGGGGUGUCGAGAGACGACACGGAUUUUGGCCAAGCCAAACAAGGAGGUUGAUAAAUCUGGGAAAAGCACCAAAAACAUUGUCUAUAGAGAUGUUUUGGGAGAUGAGGCAGGUGCGUUAUACCAUUAUUUAUUUGCACAAAUAAAUAUGUUAUUAUAUCUAUAACUACUCCUUCAUUUAACAUUAUUUAUCUUUCAUUUGCAGGCUUAGCGAAUGAGAAGAAUAAGCGGAUGAGGGGUAACACAAGAGUAAGCAGAUCGAUUGCUUUGUUGAUGUCGCGGCAAAACUUGAAAAAAUGCACAAGACAAGGUGUGUAUAUAUAGCAACGCGUCUGUAAGAUCACAUAAGAUUCAAGGCUAUAUAUAUGGUAGCAUUUUUCUUCGUAUCUUCUUCUAAAUCUGUAUGAGUAGAACUAGCAGCUGGUAAACGUACCUUGUCAGUCGACAGCAGCCGUUGCGUGCCCGGUGAGGCGACCAGUCGCAGGAGCGCUCGGCCGGCGAGCCCAAGUGCCCUCGCCGCCAUCACUGACUGCUGGACGGAGGAGGAUGAGGUCCGGUAGAUGCUGCUGGCGAUAGCAGGGACGAAAUCCUUGUCUCCUGAUCUGAGCUAUG
rnacentral:lncRNA from 1 species